GCGCCUCCCAGGGACCCCCCUACGUCCCCCCCAGGACUCCCCCCUGUACCCCCCCAGGGACCCCUUUUCUUCUCCCCUGGGCACAGGGAGCCCUGCGAGGGACCCUUCCUCCUGUCCCCCAGGACCCCCCUCCGUGCCACCCAGGGACUCCCCUCUUUUCCCCCAGGACUCCCCUCUGCACCCCCCACCAUAGGGAGCCCUGCAAGGGACCCCCUCCCACUCCCGUGAGGGGACCCCUCCCCUCUGUCCCCCCCAGGGACACAGGGAACCCUGUGAAGGACCCCCUCUUCUCCCUCGGGGACCCCCGUCCACCCACCCUCCUGGCACGGGGAGCCCUGCGAGGGACCCCCCCUCUGCCCCUCCCCCGGGGCAUGGAGAGCCCUUCGAGGGACCCCCCCCUCCGCCCACCCCUGUGUCAGUGGGAGCCAGGGUGAGGACUCAAGGGGGUAAGAGCAGCAUCCGCCCUGCCCCAUGAUGUGCUCGGGGAGCCUCUGCACAUGCCCAGGCUGCUGUGGCCCCAAGGAGCAGGUGCCAGGAGGUUGGGCCACAUAGGCAGCUGUCACCCCUCUUGCUCCUGUGCUUUGGCUCUGUGGCUGGAAGAUGCAUCUUCUAUCUCCUCAUACUAUGAGAGGGAAUUCUCUUUGUCAGCCAGCCUACCUGCGAAGAGAAGGAUGAAUUUUCUUCCUCCUCCUCUGGAAGAGAAGCACCCAGGCUGUGGCAGCGAAAUGAGCCCCUACGAACCAGCCCUCCUAGCUCUCACUUGGGAGAGGGAAGUGGAUUAAUAGGUUGAUGUUCCAGUUUAGAGGUCCAACAUCAUAACAUCCAAAUACUGAGAUAAUCCCAGGGGCAUCUGUGGCCCUGUCUGCAUCAUUUGACUAGGAGAGCAGUGUUUUAUUUCAAAUUAACUAAUAAAUAACCUUUUUUGGUUCA